UUCCAUUUUCUCCCGGUUUUUGCCAGCAUUGGUGUGACUUGGGUGACAGCUAGGAGUGCCAAGUAUGCUGUCAGCACCAUCCCAGCAAAGGCAGGGAUGAAUACAAGAGCUGGCCUGGCCCUGCUGUAAACCAAGGGACACUUGUGUGCUGCCAAGGCCCCUGGGAACUGGCAGCUUCCUAACACCAUCCACAGCAGAGCCAUCCCUUGUAGCACUGUGCAGCAUUAUUCCCAUGAUUUAAUCCUGCCUGGGAUCAUUAGACACCGUGGUAACGAUUAAGAAAGCAAUUAUGACACUGACCCAUGUUUUCAGGGACCUGGGCAGGCAAGUGCCUUUGUCAUCUAUCAGAAGCUGGGUAUGAAAACUCCUCUCUGCUGUGUCACCCAAGCUCUCACCCACCUAAGAAAAGAGAGGAGUUAAAGAUUUAAAAAUGCUGCAAUUGGACUAAACAGGAAUACUGCAGGAGUGCCUGGCAUACAGACUGCUUAUCCUCCAUGAAACACCUUAAAGCCAUUAAAAUCACCAUCCUAACUUGUGAAUUAUACAACUUGAACACUUAUCUGCAAGUGAGUAAUGAGAUGUACCAAACAUACUCUUAUGUCUUCUUCUGAAGAUUCUUCUAAAAAAUAAAAAAAUUCUAAAUUCAGUUUACUGUGUAUUUAUACAAGGAAAUUUCCUUCCAAACUCCUCAAUGGCAGAUUUCCUGCCAGCCCUACCCACUUGAAAGUAACAGAAGAUUAUUUUCCUCUAUUUUGAAACAGCUUGAUGGACUAAAAGGAGGCCUAGAGAGGUUUAUGCAGCAUUUACCACUUUUAUUAUUUAUAGUCUCAUAAAAAGCAAAUGGAAGAAUUAGAGAUACACAACUGAAAUUCUCAAGCAUUUUAUUUUAUAACCUACUGUAUAAAACAUACAAAAACAAAACAAAACAAAAACAAAAAAAAAAAAAAAAAAAAAAAAAAACACCCCAAAAAAAAAUCCCAACAAACUGGAAG